GAGAACUCAGGCGUGAUCAUCAGAGCCUGAGUUAGCGGUCAAGUUGGAGAUGGACAUCAGCUAUUAUAGUCCAAGACAGAGAAUGGAUUGGAUCCUGUACCCCAUUCUUGCAUUCUGUCUCUUGUGUCUGCGAUUAGGUAGUAGCUUCAAUCCUCAUAUCUUCCUAGCUCCGAUUUCAGGCUUUAAUCAACCUUACCCAGAUCUGCUGCUACGGGUUCAGAACUGACUUAGUUGACCGCCAAGCCCUGCUUCCAAUUUCAUAGAGAGAAAGAUUAAAGACCGUUUUUUUUUAAAGGGUGAGGCUUUGAUCAUUUCUCUUGGUUGUUUGGCUUUGUAUGGCUUGUUUUUGGGAAGUGGUGGUGUAAGGCUUUUGCUACGGUGGAAGAAGGAAAACGAGGUAGUGUGGGAAGCUUCUUGUGUGAUGUGUAUUGCUGAGAUCGAAGGAAGAGAGUGUGGCAUCUUGUGCAGAUUUUUAGCGUUGGAACUUGGCCAUUCAUGAACGAUGUUAUGUUCCAUCAUUGGAAACUGCAGCAGCCAAGCAUGUUGAGACUCCAGCUGUUCAUGAACGACCAUAUCAGUCUAAACGCAAGAGAAGUUUUCUCGGCCGUUCUUGAACGACCAUGGUUGUUUUCAAAAGGGUAUUGGUUGUUCAUGAACAGCCGCCUAUGCUUGAAGCAAACCUGUUAAUUCUCUGCCA